rnacentral:tRNA from 1 species
GAAGGUAUAGCUCAAGUGGUAGAGUGCAUGCUUAGCAUGCAUGAGGUCCUGGGUUCAAUCCCCAGUACUUCCU